UGAAGUAGAGUCUGCCAUAUGGAACAUAGCGAUGUCCUGCAAGCAGUCCUGUUGCAAGCCAUUGAAAAAAACAAUUCACAGUUGCUGCUGGCAGUCACAGAGCAGCUGCACUCUGUUGAGCACCAUUUCUGGUCCUGUGAAACAAGCACUGACUGGUGGGACCACGUCAUUUAGCAGGCGACCCUGUGUGAUAUCAGUCUCCUGAGGGCAACAGGCAGAAAGGAAGGAGAUGCUGCAAAUGUCUGGGUAUAGACCUGGUCCUUAUGCUGUUAUGCUGUGUACCACAAUGAUGCCAGCAGAAUUAAUUCAGCAGUUGCAUGGGAAAGUGUCCUACCAUGGUGGAAGAAAUAAGACUGCCCUGCCCAGAAACCUUCUGCAAAGGAUUGCAGAGUACCUCCAUGAAAGUUUCCUGGAGAUAUCCAUGGAAGAUUCCUGGGCUAUCCCAGUCCACAUAAACAGUAUUUUCUGGGGGCCACCUGCUGCCUAGCUGGAGUGGCCUCUUGUAAGCAGAGAACCACAGCACCUCGCUUUUUCUUCAGAGUAAACAUGCAAUAUCACCAAAUGCGUGUGCCCUCUAAAGUUUAACUGGACUUUGAUUGUAACGGUACACUCACCAGAGGUGCCUUCCCCAGCAUCACAGUCAGCCACUGUGAUGUCCUGUGACCCAGAGGGCUCCAGAGUUAAAAAUAUUUCCUGGCUCUCGGGGCGAAUGGAUCCACCGCUUGACUGUCUCCCAUUCUCCUCCUCUUCUUCCUCAUCCACCAUAUCGUCCUUGUUGUCCCUAGCCUCUCACACCUGUGAAGUGUCCACAUUGCUUGUGGGGGUGCUGGUAGGGUCACCCCCGAGAAUCGCAUGCAGCUCGCUGUAGAACUGGCGUGUGGGGUUCAGCACCAGAAUGACUGUUUGCCUCCUUUGCCUUCUGGUACGCUUGGCGAAGUUCUUGUAUUUUCACAUGGCAGUGCUGUGUGUCCCUCUUGUAGCCCUUCUCCCCGAUUCUACAAGUAAUCUUUGCAUAGAUGUCAGCUUUUCUUCUGCUGAAUUGGAGCUCUGCCUGCACAGACGCUUCUCCCCACACAGCGAUGAGAUCCACCACCUCCUGUGCAGACCAUGCUGGAGCGCGUUUGGGGCACUUAGUCUCCGUGAUCAGCUGUGCUCAAGCUGGCAUGCUCCCAAUGUUGAUCAAACAGGAAAUGGGAAAUCAAAAAUUCCUGGGGCUUUAGCAGGGGAGGGGCUAUUUCCUGUGUACCAGGCUGCAGUGCAGUAGAGUUGAGAAUGAUCUCCAGAAUGCUCACAGAUGAGCGUUGUGGGACACCACCUGGAAGCCAACUAAGUAAAGUUACGCAGUGCUGCGUCUGCACUAUCUUGCGGUCGAUCCAUGAAAAUCGAAUUAAGCGCUACACAGGAAUGUGUCAUCUGACAUGCUCUACCCUUGGAAUAAUACUCAUUCACAACCAUACUCACCAACUUGCUUCUGAACAAGGAAACAUUUUUCAAGUCUUCCACAAUGUGUUCGGUUGCAUGAAGAGUACCUUGAGGUUUCUUUAUGAAUUGCUGAAACUAACAAAAUAGAUUUGACAGAUUGCAAUAUUGCCGCUAUUUGUUUUUCACAGAGAUUUAUAUAUUUAGGAAACCCCGUUAUCCAUUUGCUUCAUCAAACCUUGAUGCAGGAGGUGUGUGAUUUCUUUUUGUUUGUUAGUGUGCUUGUUUUUUCCAAUGUAAAAAUCAAACCAUUUUACGUGAGAGCGGAAUAACGCUUUAAAUUCCGUUGUGUGCAGGGGAAAUCACCAACAGACAGUAAUGAGCAGUGGUCUCAUUUUUAGUCAUUUUUCUUCUCUGAUCAGUUUUGAAAACCACUUCAUGAAAUUAGAACAAGAGGGAUUUUAAUAUAAAAACUCCUGGAGCCCCAACCUCUGAGGUAGAUAGGAGAGUGGAUGGUCAAUUUCCUUACUCCUGCUUCUUUAUGUUAGUGAAACUAAAGAAUCCUUAAGAUUUAAAUAUCUUGGGAAGGGGAGUUUUUUUUUUUUUUUCACCAGAGAACAGUAAACCCUGCAUGUGUGUGCCCAUGAAAGCUUUUACAUGAACACUUGAGAAAGGUGUAUUUAUACUCUCAUAUUUUAUGAAGGAAAUUUACUUUUUAACUAUCUUUAUGUUGCUUUUCUAUUAUGUAGAGUUGUAUGUGUACUCAGAGAGAAGUGAUGGGUGUAGUUUUAACAUUUAGAAAUAAUAAAUAUGAUUUGGCUCUUAUAUUUUGGGUAUUUUAAUGUAAAUAAAUUUACAGUUUAAUGUUUAAAAAGGAACUCCUGGUUAGAGGAAAUAUCAAUAGAGAAAUAAAUCUUGAAUGCUACUGCAUUUUAAUUAGUCACGCAUUUUAUGCUAAGUAAGGCCCCCAUCUUGCAGUCUUACUCCUGUGCUUAAUGUUGUUCAUGAGAGUAGUUCCACUGAUAUCAGUGGGACUACUCACAUGAGUAAAGUGAAGCUUGUGUGUAAGAGUGUGCAAGAUCUAGUUGAUUAUCAAGAUGGUAAACUGAAGCACUUCAGAAAAACUGAUUCUUCAUGAUAUGUUCUCUGUAAAGGUUUACAAGAUCAUCAUUAUUUGUAUUGCAGUCGUAUAAAAGUCUUGUGUCUUAUUUUUCCCACUAGAGGGAGAUAUCAAACUGGCUUAAAAACACUGGAAAUGAAGACCAGUAUAUACUUUACAUUUUAUAAUUAGUAAAAUAAACCCAACCUAUAUCAUAACAGUUGAAUUUCAUUUUAGAUUAUAAUUCCUAGCACCAAAAUCUUUUGUAUAGAAAGAUAGCGAAAACUAGAUAAGACUUAGUUGAAUCCUUUGCUAUUGUGUUCAGAGUGUGCCCCAUGGAUGGCUUUUUUGGUCUUGGAGGUUAAAAUAAAACCAUGCUGUUUUCUCUACA